rnacentral:rRNA from 1 species
AAGGUGGGGACGACGUCAAGUCAUCAUGGCCCUUAUGUCCAGGGCUACACACGUGCUACAAUGGCCGGUACAAAGGGCAGCGAUACCGCAAGGUGGAGCAAAUCCCAAAAAGCCGGUCUCAGUUCGGAUUGGAGUCUGCAACUCGACUCCAUGAAGUUGGAAUCGCUAGUAAUCGCGGAUCAGCAUGCCGCGGUGAAUACGUUCCCGGGCCUU